CCCGUCUGACAGCGAAAGAGGAAAAGACAAGCAAAAAGCAACGUCUGGUAAGAUUCCAAAUAAUUUUGAAAAAGUUUCUCAGUUUUGAGCUGAAAGUGAUCUAACUAUUCAAACAUUUGCAUCCGAUGUAUGUAUGUUUCUGAAUAUUUGUUGAUAAAUGUCAUGGUCUCGCCUUGUUUCUCAUUCACAAUAGCUGCAGUUUCUGUGGGAUUGCUUCUGCUGGCUCUGGUUAUAGUGUUAAUCUUAUUCAAACUGAAACACAACAAACAUGACAUUAUUUCAUCAAGAGACAGAAGACAGACAGGGGAUCAUGAAACGACUCAAGAAGACGCCAAGCGCCAUUCAGAUCCUGAAUCAAAUCCUCUCUAUUCAACUGUCCAGUUACCCACAAUCCCCUCUGACUCACAGAAUCCACUUUACUCCACAAUUCAGUCACCCACAAUCCCCUCUGAUGGGCUCCUGUACGCUGCUGUCAGUUUUCAAAAUCAUGAAGAGUCUCUCAGUGAAGCUACAGUCAGAUUCAGUAAAGAGGAGACUCACUGUGAUUACGCAUCUGUCAAUCACAACA